AUUGAACGCUGGCGGCAGGCCUAACACAUGCCAGUCGAACGGUAACAGGAAGAAGCUUGCUUCUUUGCUGACGAGUGGCGGACGGGUGAGUAAUGUCUGGGAAACUGCCUGAUGGAGGGGGAUAACUACUGGAAACGGUAGCUAAUACCGCAUAACGUCGCAAGACUAAAGAGGGGGACCUUCGGGCCUCUUGCCAUCGGAUGUGCGCAGGUGGGAUUAGUUAGUAGGUGGGGUAACGGCUCACCUAGGCGACGAUCCCUAGCUGGUCUGAGAGGAUGACCAGCCACACUAGAACUGAGACGCGGUCCAGACUCCUACGGGAGGCAGCAGUGGGGAAUAUUGCACAAUGGGCGCAAGCCUGAUGCAGCCAUGCCGCGUGUAUGAAGAAGGCCUUCGGGUUGUAAAGUACUUUCAGCGGGGAGGAAGGGAGUAAAGUUAAUACCUUUGCUCAUUGACGUUACCCGCAGAAGAAGCACCGGCUAACUCCGUG
rnacentral:rRNA from 1 species